UAGGGAAUCUUCGGCAAUGGACGAAAGUCUGACCGAGCAACGCCGCGUGAGUGAAGAAGGUUUUCGGAUCGUAAAACUCUGUUGUUAGAGAAGAACAAGGACGUUAGUAACUGAACGUCCCCUGACGGUAUCUAACCAGAAAGCCACGGCUAACUACGUGCCAGCAGCCGCGGUAAUACGUAGGUGGCAAGCGUUGUCCGGAUUUAUUGGGCGUAAAGCGAGCGCAGGCGGUUUCUUAAGUCUGAUGUGAAAGCCCCCGGCUCAACCGGGGAGGGUCAUUGGAAACUGGGAGACUUGACUGCAGAAGAGGAGAGUGGAAUUCCAUGUGUAGCGGUGAAAUGCGUAGAUAUAUGGAGGAACACCAGUGGCGAAGGCGGCUCUCUGGUCUGUAACUGACGCUGAGGCUCGAAAGCGUGGGGAGCAAACAGG
rnacentral:rRNA from 1 species